rnacentral:rRNA from 1 species
UACGGAGGGUGCAAGCGUUGUCCGGAUUUAUUGGGUUUAAAGGGUGCGUAGGCGGCCCGUUAGGUCAGUGGUGAAAUCCCAGGGCUCAACCCUGGAACUGCCAUUGAUACUGACGGGCUUGAGUUCGGUUAAGGCGGGCGGAACUGGUGGUGUAGCGGUGAAAUGCAUAGAUAUCGGGAGGAACAUCAGUGGCGAAGGCGGCCAUCUGGGACAACACUGACGCUGAAGCACGAAAGCGUGGGGAGCAAACAGG